GCGCCCAUAGCUCAAUCGGAUAGAGCGUGUGGCUUCGGACCACAAGGCUGGAGGUUCGAGUCCUCCUGGGCGCG
rnacentral:tRNA from 1 species